GACGAACGCUGGCGGCGUGCCUAAUACAUGCAAGUAGAACGCUGAAGAGAGGAGCUUGCUCUUCUUGGAUGAGUUGCGAACGGGUGAGUAACGCGUAGGUAACCUGCCUUGUAGCGGGGGAUAACUAUUGGAAACGAUAGCUAAUACCGCAUAACAAUGGAUGACACAUGUCAUUUAUUUGAAAGGGGCAAUUGCUCCACUACAAGAUGGACCUGCGUUGUAUUAGCUAGUAGGUGAGGUAAUGGCUCACCUAGGCGACGAUACAUAGCCGACCUGAGAGGGUGAUCGGCCACACUGGGACUGAGACACGGCCCAGACUCCUACGGGAGGCAGCAGUAGGGAAUCUUCAGCAAUGGGGGCAACCCUGACCGAGCAACGCCGCGUGAGUGAAGAAGGGUUUCGGAUCGUAAAGCUCUGUUGUAAGUCAAGAACGGGUGUGAGAGUGGAAAGUUCACACUGUGACGGUAGCUUACCAGAAAGGGACGGCUAACUACGUG
rnacentral:rRNA from 1 species